rnacentral:rRNA from 1 species
GUGCCAGCAGCCGCGGUAAUACGUAGGGUGCAAGCGUUAAUCGGAAUUACUGGGCGUAAAGCGUGCGCAGGCGGUGAUGCAAGACAGAGGUGAAAUCCCCGGGCUCAACCUGGGAACUGCCUUUGUGACUGCAUGACUAGAGUACGGUAGAGGGGGAUGGAAUUCCGCGUGUAGCAGUGAAAUGCGUAGAUAUGCGGAGGAACACCGAUGGCGAAGGCAAUCCCCUGGACCUGUACUGACGCUCAUGCACGAAAGCGUGGGGAGCAAACAGGAUUAGAUACCCCCGUAGUCC